UACGUAGGUGGCGAGCGUUAUCCGGAAUGAUUGGGCGUAAAGGGUGCGUAGGCGGCCUGCUAAGUCUGGAGUGAAAGGUACCGGCUCAACCGGUACAGGCUCUGGAAACUGGCGAUCUUGAGUGGAAGAGAAGUAUGCGGAAUGCGUGGUGUAGCGGUGAAAUGCAUAGAUAUCACGCAGAACCCCGAUUGCGAAGGCAGCAUGCCGGCUUCCUACUGACGCUGAAGCACGAAAGCGUGGGGAUCGAACAGG
rnacentral:rRNA from 1 species